rnacentral:rRNA from 1 species
GACGAACGCUGGCGGCGUGCUUAACACAUGCAAGUCGAACGGAAAGGCCUGCUUUCCCUUGUGGAUUGCGGGUACUCGAGUGGCGAACGGGUGAGUAACACGUGAGUGAUCUGCCCCCAACUUGGGUAUAAGCCUGGGAAACUGGGUCUAAUUCCCGAUAGGACUGCAGGGUGGUGCCUGUGGUGGAAAACGAUUUUCUAGUGGUUGGGGAUGAGCUCGCGGCCUAUCAGCUUGUUGGUGGGGUAAUGGCCUACCAAGGCGGCGACGGGUAGCCGGCCUGAGAGGGUGGACGGCCACAUUGGGACUGAGAUACGGCACAGACUCCUACGGGAGGCAGCAGUGGGGAAUAUUGCACAAUGGGCGGAAGCCUGAUGCAGCGACGCCGCGUGGGGGAUGACGGCCUUCGGGUUGUAAACUCCUUUCGACCGCGAGGAAGCCACCUGGUUGGAAGGGUGGUGACGGUAGUGGUAGAAGAAGCACCGGCUAACUACGUG